rnacentral:ribozyme from 1 species
AGUCACAAGUUUGAGGCCAUAGCAGACGUGUUCAUGGCACAGCCCUGUCAGAAUCCAAUGAAUGUGCACAUUUUGCU